rnacentral:rRNA from 1 species
UGGGGAAUUGUUCACAAUGGGCGCAAGCCUGAUGACGCAACGCCGCGUGGGGGAUGAAGGUCUUCGGAUCGUAAACCCCUGUCGAAUGGGACGAAAGACUCGCGAGUGAAUACUUCGCGAGAGUGACGGUACCGUUAAAGGAAGCCACGGCUAACUCUGUGCCAGCAGCCGCGGUAAUACAGAGGUGGCAAGCGUUGUUCGGAAUUACUGGGCGUAAAGGGCGCGUAGGCGGCCCUCUAAGUCAGACGUGAAAUCCCCCGGCUUAACCUGGGAACUGCGUCUGAUACUGGAGGGCUUGAGUAUGGGAGAGGGAUGUAGAAUUCCAGGUGUAGCGGUGAAAUGCGUAGAUAUUGGGAAGGAACAUCAGUUGCGAAGGCGGCUCUCUGGACUCAAACUGACGCUGAGGCACGAAAGCGUGGGUAGCGAACAGGAUUAGAUACCCAAGUAGUCCCUGAGCGGGCUGGCAAGGCGCAU